CACAGGCAACAAGUGAAGGUCAUAUAUUUAGCUUUUAAAAAUAUAUAAUCAGGAAGGACAAGGAUGCUAUUUCCUGCAAGAGAAGACAAAUCUGCGUAAGAGAAGGGGCCAUAAGACAUGAGAAUGUAGUGCUGGCUUGUAUACUGUGGGUUGAAGUGAAUUGAACAAAACCAUCUGAGGGUUGUUCAGAAGAUAGACGGGAAGAUGGUUUCAGAAAAGUUUCUGUGACCAAAGUUAAUAUAGGAAAUUCCUCUGAUGUUCUUUGAGAAGCAAAAGUAAAUAAUUGGAUGUUUCUUAAAAUACGUUUGGCUGGCAAACUGUGUUUCUUCAAAAUAACAUCAUUCCGGGGUUGAGUCAUCCUUUUGGUUUUUUGGGGUAAUAUGUUAGAGGGCUACCAUCCAGGAUUUUGCAUUUCAGCUCCAGCACCCAGCCAUACUCAGUCAGGAUGAAAGUCAUCACUAAAAAUGUGAGUCAAAAGUGUAUUUUCAUCCUUACUGCCAAGCUGUUGGAACAAUGGAACUGAUGAGGAAGAGUCCAUCAAAUCAGGAAUUAUACAGGAACGCUGAAGAGUUUUCAAGAGGAUGAUAUCCUAGUAAGAUUUUCAUCAUUUGAAAGAAGACU
rnacentral:lncRNA from 1 species